GGGCCGGCGGCCCCGUGGCAGGUCACCGACAUGAUGCAGAAAGCCCUCUUCGACUUCCUCAAGCACAGAUUCGACGGCAGGAUCUCCAUCACCCACAUCACGGCCGACCUGUCCCUGGCCAAGCGCUCCAUCCUCAACAACCUGGGCAAGCAGGCCAUCCUGGAGCGCUCCACCACCCGCUCCAGCAUCGCCGAGGUGCAAAGC